AGGACAGACCAGGGAUCCGUGGUUUGGGCUGAACUGCAGGCCAUUCCUGCCGCUGACCCUGGCCGUGCCCCUGGCCCACGCACAGUGCCACCCAGCUUCAGCCGCGGAAAGCGCUGACCACUGGCAAGCCCUGGAGGUCACCAGGCUGACCAGCUCCCUGCCCCUGGACCUGGGUUAGGAGAAUCGAACAGGAGGCGGGAUCAGAGAUCCAGGGACUCGGGAUUAGACGGAGAAACCCACUGGGGGCGUGACCAAGCAGAGAGUAGCCGCAAGCUUCCAGUCCAUCUCUACCUGGUCCUUGGCAGCCUGGGCUCCGGAAGAUACCUCUGGCUUUGCGCUGCUUGAGAUUGUGUGUCCCGUGUACAGAUGAAGAAACGAAGACCCUGAGUCAUCAGGUGAUUUGCCC